GGCCAGGUUUCUGGCCACGGACACCAACAGCCCAGGCCUGGAGUCAGGCAGACACUCACACGGUGUGUAAGCCUCAGAUCACCCUCGCUGAGUCUGGGAAAGUCCCAGAGCCUCUCUGAGCCUGCCUGCUUGUAGGGGCGUUUAGCAUAAAGGCACUGACGUGCUCAGGGCUCCUGUGAUGGUUCAAAGACCCGUGGGCAAAUGGCCAGGGAGAGCCUUGCAGACGGAACACAGGAGCCUUUGGUAAACAGUGGUGAGUCUCCCCGGACUUCUUUGCUUAGGAGAGGUGGCAGAUACGUGCGGUAACGUUUCUAAAACUCUUAAACUUGCUGGGCCCAUUUCACACAGUGGAGCCCCUUGCUCAUGUUCGCCUCCGCAAAGCUAUUGUUAAAUCCACGGUCCCAUCUCAUGACACGCCUGAGUUAAGGAGCCUGGAACUGUCUAGUCAAGCGCCUGCAAGGCGCCCCACGUUCCUGGAGGAGCAGUGCACGGGGGGAGUCACCUUAUUAUGACUCACUCCACCCCUGAGUCAGUCUGGUUCGGGCCACUUUCACGGGCACCCAGGGCUCUUUCUGAGGCAGAGUGAAGUGGCUCAAGACCCAGGCUGCAGAUGGAGUGGAAGCACUGGGAUGUGAUGGGCCACACCCUAGCCAGGCCUCUCAUCCAACAUCAGGCUCCACCCUCCGCCAGGGAGAUGGUGACAGAGAGGGGAGAUCGGAGGAUGGGCUCCUCUAAGAGGCAACCCCCCAAAGUUUUACAACCGGGGAUGGGGGAGGGGGCGGCUCCUGUUUGCUAGGUUAAGAAGGAGCUGAUUCAGGCUUCCCGCUGCAAGUUCCGGUGGGAAAUGCGGGUUUCCCUAGUUGCCCUGUGCAGGAACUGACUUUUGGAAUGAAUGGCAAGGGAAGAAGUGAAAGCUUUUGCUUCUUCUCUUAUUCCUCUGCAGGAUGGAGACAUGGGUCCCUGAUACAGGUUAUUACUGGAUAUUGAGCAGAGUUCCCUGUGCUCUACAGCAGGUCCUUGCAUGUGUCAAUCCCAAACUCCGGAUCUACUCCUCUCCCCACCCUUCCCCUCCUGGUAAAUUUCAUCUCUAAAUCUGUGAGUCUGUUUCUGUUUUGUGAACAAGUUCAUUUGUAUCUUUUUUCCUAACUCCCAGGCACUGUGAGUAAAACCCACG
ensembl:lncRNA